rnacentral:rRNA from 1 species
GGCGAUCAGAUACCGCCCUAGUUCUGACCGUAAACUAUGCCAACUAGCGAUUCGCCGGUGGAUUAUCUGCCUUGGCGAGGAGCUCCCCGGAAACGAAAGUCUUCCGGUUCCGGGGGAAGUAUGGUUGCAAAGCUGAAACUUAAAGGAAUUGACGGAAGGACACCACCAGGAGUGGAGCCUGCGGCUUAAUUUGACUCAACACGGGAAAACUCACCCGGGCCGGACGGUAUAAGGAUUGACAGAUUGAUAGCUCUUUCAUGAUUUGGUGGUUGGUGGUGCAUGGCCGUUCUUAGUUCGUGGAUUGAUUUGUCUGGUUUAUUCCGAUAACGAACGAGACUUAAGCCUACUAAAUAGUUGGCUCAUUCACUCUAUGUGUGAGUGUUAUACUUCCUAGAGGAAUUUUCGGUGUUUAACCGCAUGAAAAUGAGCAAUAACAGGUCUGUGAUGCCCUUAGAUGUCCGGGGCUGCACGCGCGCUACACUGGUGUAGCCAGCGUGUAUAUCCUUUCUCGUUAGAGACUGGGUAAACCAAUCAAAUUACGCCGUGAUUGGGAUUGGAAAUUGCAAUUAUUUUCCGUUAACGAGGAAUUCCAAGUAAAUACGAGUCAUUAACUCGCGUUGAUUACGUCCCUGCCCUUUGUA